GACGAACGCUGGCGGCGUGCUUAACACAUGCAAGUCGAACGGAAAGGCCCUGCUUUUGUGGGGUGCUCGAGUGGCGAACGGGUGAGUAACACGUGAGUAACCUGCCCUUGACUUUGGGAUAACUUCAUGAAACUGGGGCUAAUACCGGAUAGGAGCUCCUGCUGCAUGGUGGGGGUGGGAAAGUUUCGGCGGUUGGGGAUGGACUCGCGGCUUAUCAGCUUGUUGGUGGGGUAGUGGCUUACCAAGGCUUUGACGGGUAGCCGGCCUGAGAGGGUGACCGGACACAUUGGGACUGAGAUAAGGCCCAGACCACUACGGGAGGGAGCAGUGGGGAAUAUUGCACAAUGGGCGGAAGCCUGAUGCAGCAACGCCGCGUGCGGGAUGACGGCCUUCGGGUUGUAAACCGCUUUCGCCUGUGACGAAGAGUGAGUGACGGUAAUGGGUAAAGAAGCACCGGCUAACUACGUG
rnacentral:rRNA from 1 species